GACAGAGGGUGCAAACGUUGUUCGGAAUUACUGGGCGUAAAGCGUGUGUAGGCGGCUAGGUGUCGGAUGUGAAAGCCCCGGGCUCAACCCGGGAAGUGCACUCGAUACUGCUUAGCUCGAGUACCGGAGAGGUUGGUGGAAUUCUCGGUGUAGAGGUGAAAUUCGUAGAUAUCGAGAGGAACACCGGUGGCGAAGGCGGCCAACUGGACGAGUACUGACGCUGAGACACGAAAGCGUGGGGAGCAAACAGG
rnacentral:rRNA from 1 species